UUGAAUCAAGGAAGGUUAGACCUCCCAUGUAUCAAGGCUAACCACCAAUCUUUAACUCAUUGAUCAAAAAAGAAAAAGAAGAAGAAGAAGAAGAAAAAGAAAAAGAAAAUUAAAGUACAUUAAUGGAAAAUGGAAAGAAAUAAUCAACAAGCAUUGACCAAAGAUAUAUGAGAUCAAGGUCAAACAAUGGUAAACAGAAGUAAGAUGAAGAUUAGAAGUCAAGAAACAAAAAUUCACUUCAAAUCAAUUAAAAAUAAUAAAGAAAGGUCAAACUUCAAAUUCACUUCAAAUCAACUUUGACAAAACAUUUC
rnacentral:lncRNA from 1 species